UACGUAGGUGGCAAGCGUUGUCCGGAUUUAUUGGGUUUAAAGGGUGCGUAGGCGGUUCUGUAAGUCAGUGGUGAAAUCCGGCAGCUCAACUGUCGAUGUGCCAUUGAUACUGUAGGACUUGAGUACAGACGAGGUAGGCGGAAUUGACGGUGUAGCGGUGAAAUGCUUAGAUAUCGUCAAGAACACCGAUAGCGAAGGCAGCUUACUAGACUGUAACUGACGCUGAUGCACGAAAGUGUGGGGAUCAAACAGG
rnacentral:rRNA from 1 species